AUAUCUCAGGUAAGUGAGCUGCUUUGUACAUUACAUCUCUAUUGAACUAUAUGCAGUUUUCAGCUUGAUGUCUUUGAUUUAACGUCAUUAUUCUAGGACUGGAAAAUUUUGCAUUAGACAUAUUGAUUCCGUAAUGCAAUUAAUGCAUCAUAAAAGCUAGGGAUAAUUUGGCUGUGUCGUCCUCGAUAUGUUACGACACAAAAUGUUGAUCAUUUUCACGAUUGGAGACACAACAGAUGCUUCUUUAUCUCACUGGUCUCUAGAGGAAGGAAGAGAUCUUGUCUGAAGCAAAUGAGUGCCUUAGAAGAAAAGAAAAUGAGGAGUUCAAUUGUUUCCCCAAAUUUCCUUCCACGAUUUUGUAACCCUUUGCAGAAUCGCAUGGUGAGGUUCGCAACAUUGUCUACUCAUCUGAUAGGAAAUCAGUAUCUAUUGUCUAUCAUGUGACUAUGGAACUGAUGCAGAGUACCCUUCUUUGCAUGGGAGUUAUAUGUGGUUCAGUUUGCAGAAUCUUGUUUGGUUUUACAUUGAUCUUGCAUGCUUAGUUUUUGGGUGUAUA